rnacentral:rRNA from 1 species
CAGCCGCCGCGUGAAUACGAAGGGGGCUAGCGUUGCUCGGAAUUACUGGGCGUAAAGGGAGCGUAGGCGGACAUUUAAGUCAGGGGUGAAAUCCCGGGGCUCAACCUCGGAAUUGCCUUUGAUACUGGGUGUCUUGAGUAUGAGAGAGGUAUGUGGAACUCCGAGUGUAGAGGUGAAAUUCGUAGAUAUUCGGAAGAACACCAGUGGCGAAGGCGACAUACUGGCUCAUUACUGACGCUGAGGCUCGAAAGCGUGGGGAGCAAACAGGAUUAGAUACCCGAGUAGUCCCUGUCUCUUAUAC